rnacentral:rRNA from 1 species
AUGGCUAGUUAUUUACCUUCUACCUCUAUGUCUGAAAUUGGGGAUACCAUUGUCGAUAAUAAUUUUGAUGCUCCUACUAAAGAACCCACUAUCUCACAUAUAAAAAGAUUUCGUGUUGGUAGCACUAAUAUUAUUGGAAAAGGAGUUAUUCAAGAUUUCUUUAUUUGUGCCGGUGCUUUACCUUCUAUGGGUAGUUCUAUUUGUCAUAGAACUAGUAGUCUUGCGGACACUAUUGCCAUGCUUGUAGUUGAACUUGAGAGGCAAUUCAUGCACUUGCAUCCUUCUAUACAAAGGAUUUUCCUAGAAUUUUCUAAUAUUGAGCAUUCUUCUGUUAAGCGUGCCGUUACUAUCUUUUUGGCUCAUGAUUUUUGA